rnacentral:rRNA from 1 species
UACGUAGGUGGCAAGCGUUGUCCGGAUUUAUUGGGUUUAAAGGGUGCGUAGGCGGCCCUGUAAGUCAGUGCUGAAAUAUCCCGGCUUAACCGGGAGGGUGGCAUUGAUACUGCAGGGCUUGAGUACAGAUGAAGUAGGCGGAAUUGACGGUGUAGCGGUGAAAUGCAUAGAUAUCGUCAAGAACACCGAUAGCGAAGGCAGCUUACUAGCUGUAACUGACGCUGAGGCACGAAAAGUGUGGGG